rnacentral:rRNA from 1 species
UACGUAGGGUGCAAGCGUUAAUCGGAAUUACUGGGCGUAAAGAGCUCGUAGGCGGUUUGUCGCGUCUGCUGUGAAAACCCGAGGCUCAACCUCGGGCCUGCAGUGGGUACGGGCAGACUAGAGUGCGGUAGGGGAGAUUGGAAUUCCUGGUGUAGCGGUGGAAUGCGCAGAUAUCAGGAGGAACACCAAUGGCGAAGGCAGAUCUCUGGGCCGUAACUGACGCUGAGGAGCGAAAGCAUGGGGAGCGAACAGG